rnacentral:rRNA from 1 species
UACGUAGGGGGCAAGCGUUGUCCGGAAUCAUUGGGCGUAAAGCGCGUGUAGGCGGCCCAGUAAGUCCGCUGUGAAAGCCCAGGGCUCAACCCUGGGAUGCCGGUGGAUACUGUUGGGCUCGAGUCCGGAAGAGGCGAGUGGAAUUCCCGGUGUAGCGGUGAAAUGCCGCAGAUAUCGGGAGGAACACCAAUGGCGAAGGCAGCUCGCUGGGACGUGACUGACGCUGAGACGCGAAAGCGUGGGGAG